AUUGAACGCUGGCGGCAUGCUUUACACAUGCAAGUCGAACGGUAACAGGCCUUCGGGUGCUGACGAGUGGCGAACGGGUGAGUAAUGCAUCGGAACGUACCCAGAGGUGGGGGAUAACGCAGCGAAAGCUGUGCUAAUACCGCAUGUGAUCUGAGGAUGAAAGCGGGGGACCGAGCAGCAAUGUUUGGCCUCGCGCCUUUGGAGCGGCCGAUGUCGGAUUAGCUAGUUGGUGGGGUAAAGGCCUACCAAGGCGACGAUCCGUAGCUGGUCUGAGAGGACGAGGAGACAAAAUGGGAAUGAGAGACGGGCCAGACUGAGACGGGGGGCAGCAGUGGGGAAGAGUGAAAAAUGGGCGCAAGUCGGAUCAAGCCAUAGCGGGGGGGGGAAGAAGGCCUUCGGGUUGGAAAGCACUUUUGUUGGGAAAGAAAAGCAGAAGGUGAAUACCCCGCUGUUCUGAGGCGCCCAAAAGAAUAAUCACGGGCGACCUUCGUC
rnacentral:rRNA from 1 species